rnacentral:snoRNA from 1 species
UCCCCAUGACUGUGAUGAAGUAAAUGUUGGUAGGGACAUCUGAAUACUGUGAAGAAACGCCAACUCCUCUGAUUUCAUGGGGA